UACGUAGGGACCGAGCGUUGUCCGGAGUUACUGGGCGUAAAGCGCGCGCAGGUGGCUCAUUACGCCCGGCGUGAAAGCCCCCGGCCCAACCGGGGAAGGUCGUCGGGGACGGGUGAGCUUGAGGGUAUCAGGGGCUGGUGGAAUUCCCGGUGUAGUGGUGAAAUGCGUAGAGAUCGGGAGGAACACCCGUGGCGAAGGCGGCCAGCUGGGAUACACCUGACACUGAGGCGCGAAGGCGUGGGGAGCGAACGGG
rnacentral:rRNA from 1 species